rnacentral:tRNA from 1 species
GCUACCUUAGCUCAGACGGCAAGAGUGCUGACCUGGUACGUCAGAUGUCAUCGGUUCGAUUCCGAUAGGUAGCU